rnacentral:lncRNA from 1 species
AUGUUAUCAUAUUUGCAAGAUGACUGCUCCAGCUUCAGCCAUCCCAUCUUUGUCCAAAGGUGGAAGAAUGAGAGACUUACAGAGGCCUUCAGAAACUUGGAGACUCAAAGAAGGAGCUCACUUCAUUGUGGUGGAACCAAACUUGGCUUGUUGGAGAGCAUAAGAUACAUGGUGUUAGGGUUAGAAUCUGGGAGCUUGGAAGUACGAGAACGACAUCCACACAUCCUGAAUUACGCAGCUUUUAACUCUGACGAGGCUCUGCCAAUACCUGGAUCCAGAUAAGUGUGAGUACUACAUUGGAACACAAGGCCUGACUACAGACUAGAAGUGGCUCCAGAAGCACUUCAUCUUCUGUGGCUAAGAAACAGGAUCUGUUCUGAGAAAAACCAACAUCUGUAACCACACGUUAAGAGUGCAUAAAUUCACACACACAUACAUCACAACAACAACAACAACAACAACUUUCUUUGAAAGAGGGGCGAGUGAUGUAGUUAUAAUCUCUCACUAUUGGAGAGUUUCUGAAACAUGUUCACAUCUCCUACCUCAUUUGAUCCUCCCCCAAAUGCAGUUUGGAAUAAGGCAUGCAGCCACUACAAGUCCUGUUUCACAGAUGAAGUGGGUGAGGUUUAGAAAAGCCAAGGGCCUAGCUCAAGGUCACAAGUUACUGGGUGGCGGAGCAGGGACGUGAGCCCAGGUGUCCGAGUCCUGUGCCAUUGGGGACCCACUUGACUAAUGCAGGGUAUUAGAGUUAAGUGGGUAAGGGGUCUUGAAACAUUUGCCCAUUUUUCAGGCAUUUGACCUAAACCACAGAAAAGGGAAAAACUAGUGACCUAAGGUCACAUAAAGAGUCACACAAGCAGAAAAUUGAAGAAAGAAUGAAGUCUAACUCCAGUCCAUGUUUACAACAAAUCCUCCUCCUAUCAAGAGCCAGUACCUUUAAAAAGGAAUCUCUUCUUCUCAAAAGAACCAGAGACAUUUCCAAAUGUUUUCCCCUUGAUUAAAAUCCUAGGUAUAAAAAGCAGGAAAUGUUUAUGCUCAAAAAACAAGGCUCCUCUGUAUUGAGCAAAUGGGAAUCCUUUGAUUCAAUCUGAAAUUUCUUUUCUAGGUAUGGUUACGUGGUUUUUUAAAAGAAAUAAAAAUGGAGAACGUUCAAUGCUUUAAAUACCA